rnacentral:rRNA from 1 species
AUUGCCUUAGUAGCGGCGAGUGAAGCGGCAAAAGCUCAGAUUUGAAAUCUGCCUCACGGCCGAGUUGUAAUCUGUAGAUGGCUACUCUGUAACAAGUCUUUGCUCAAGUUUUCUGGAAAGGAACAUCAUGGAGGGUGAUAAUCCCGUGAGGCAUUGGCGUCGUUGCGUGUAGAGGGUCAUCAAAGAGUCGAGUUGUUUGGGAAUGCAGCUCAAAGCGGGUGGUAGACACCAUCUAAAGCUAAAUAUUGGCGAGAGACCGAUAGCGAACAAGUACUGUGAAGGAAAGAUGAAAAGCACUUUGAAAAGAGAGUGAAAAAGUACGUGAAAUUAUUGAUACAGAAGGAUAUGCCAUUGGACGUUAUGUUUGGGCAUGUUUGUGCUUCGGCGCAGGCUUAACCCUCUCAUUUUACCAGCAUCAGUUUCGGCAGGAGGACAAACAACGCGGAAUGUAGCUGCUUGCAGUGUUAUAGACGUGUUGCAUGCUCUUUGCUGGGACUGAGGACCGCCAUUGCAGGAUGCUGG